AGUGAACGCUGGCGAUAGGCCUAACACAUGCAAGUCGAACGGCAGCACAGUAAGAGCUUGCUCUUACGGGUGGCGAGUGGCGGACGGGUGAGGAAUACAUCGGAAUCUACUUUUUCGUGGGGGAUAACGUAGGGAAACUUACGCUAAUACCGCAUACGACCUACGGGUGAAAGCAGGGGAUCUUCGGACCUUGCGCGAUUGAAUGAGCCGAUGUCGGAUUAGCUAGUUGGCGGGGUAAAGGCCCACCAAGGCGACGAUCCGUAGCUGGUCUGAGAGGAUGAUCAGCCACACUGGAACUGAGACACGGUCCAGACUCCUACGGGAGGCAGCAGUGGGGAAUAUUGGACAAUGGGCGCAAGCCUGAUCCAGCCAUACCGCGUGGGUGAAGAAGGCCUUCGGGUUGUAAAGCCCUUUUAUUGGGAAAGAAAAGCAGCAGGUUAAUACCCCGCUGUUCUGACGGUACCCAAAGAAUAAGCACCGGCUAACUUCGUG
rnacentral:rRNA from 1 species